GCCCGGGUGGCGAAAUUGGUAGACGCAAGGGACUUAAAAUCCCUCGGCAGCAAUGCCGUACCGGUUCGACUCCGGUCCCGGGCA
rnacentral:tRNA from 1 species